AGAGGCUGAAAUUGUGAAGAAGAAACCCAAACCACAUCCUGCAAAGAAAGCUAAAGAUAUUAAGGAAAAGGCAAAACCAGGUCCAAAAGAAAAAGUUGCUGAGGCCGUCAAGGAAAAAUCAAAGCCUGCAAAGCAAG